AUACGUAGGUGACAAGCGUUAUCCGGAUUUACUGGGCGUAAAGGGCGUGUAGGCGGUCUUGCAAGUCAGAAGUGAAAUUCCUGAGCUCAACUCGGGCGCUGCUUCUGAAACUGCAGGACUUGAGUGCUGGAGGGGAUAGCGGAAUUCCUAGUGGAGCGGUAAAAUGCGCAGAUAUUAGGAAGAACACCGGUGGCGAAGGCGGCUACCUUGCCAGUAACUCACGCUGAGGAGCGAAAGCGUGGGGAGCAAACAGGAUUAGAUCCCCUGGUGGUCCACGCCGUAAACGAUGAAUACUAGGUGUAGGGGGUAUCGACUCCCUCUGUGCCGCAGUUAACACAAUAAGUAUUCCGCCUGGGGAGUACGGCCGCAAGGUUGAAACUCAAAGGAAUCGACGGGG
rnacentral:rRNA from 1 species